GUUGACUAAGAGGAACUCUGGCAGCUAAGGACCUGAACUCCUGAAGGUAGCUGGUUUACGUCCCAGGAGGGGUUCCCUUGCUGAGCAUAUUCCUCUAGCCCAGUUACACCUGUGUGCCCCGGACUUGCCGCUUUUGCUGACGGACUCAUUUCUCCCCUCCUCUUACGAUUUCUGAGGAUUUUCUGGGUUUUCCUUCCGUGACGUGAUGAUGACAUUGGACUACGAUUUGGUGCUGACAUUUUGGAUUCAUCUGUCUGUCCCAAGGACUCCGACAAGCUCCAUUCAGUUUGCCUCUGCAUGUCUAUCUGAAAACACCCCCUUCCCCUCCACAUUUUCAUUUGAUUUUUUUUUCCUGUGCAAACCCUAUCUAAUCUCUAUUCCUGUUUAUUGAUGUUA